rnacentral:rRNA from 1 species
UACGUAGGGUGCGAGCGUUAAUCGGAAUUACUGGGCGUAAAGGGCGCGUAGGCGGCGCAACAAGUCACUUGUGAAAUCUCCGGGCUUAACCCGGAGCGGUCAAGUGAUACUGUCGUGCUAGAGUGCGGAAGGGGCUACUGGAAUUCUCGGUGUAGCGGUGAAAUGCGUAGAUAUCGAGAGGAACACCUGCGGCGAAGGCGGGUUGCUGGGCCGACACUGACGCUGAUGCGCGAAAGCCAGGGGAGCGAACGGG